CAUGAGUAUUAUGGUUACAGCACUCAAAACCAAAUACCAAGUCAGCCGAACAUAAACUUAUACGUUCUUUUAAUGAAAAGUGUGGUUUGAUUUCAUGUGAAUCAUAGGUUUUAAGUUAAUAUUCAAAUCGGAAUUAUAACUUGUGAGUCACGCAGAGUCUGGCGUCAUUACGUCAGACGUUGCAUCACGACGUUGCAUUCCUGACCGACGUAUCCAGAAAAAUCCAUCCAACAUGGCGCCUCUCUCAAGCAAGGGGAUUUCACACAUAGUUCAUCUUGUUUGUGCCGAGUUUCACUGAAUCAUAAACGUCAACCUACGGAGCCAGUUCUUUUCUGAACUAAACAGACGCCUACUGCGACUGAUGGCUUUGUACAGGCAGAAGGCGGCACGGACUGGCAAGAUAUCAGAGGCUCUGCAUGCCGUCCUAAGGAUUUGUGAUCUCCAGCAGGUACAUGAUGUCAACAUGAAACACAUUGCAGCGCUUCGAGCCUCCCAUUAUACCUACGCGAGGAGGAUUUGGCAUUUUAGCCUUCCAGUUUAAAAAAACAGACAGGAGCAAUCAAAACAUUUUCAGAUUAAAUAUAUAUAAAUCCUUUCAUGUUACAUAAUUUACAGUGUAUGUCAAAAGUAUUUUAUUGUCAUUACCUUUUUGUGUGAAAUGAUUAAUAAAUAUCAUAUAUUCUU